GAUGAACGCUGGCGGCGUGCCUAAUACAUGCAAGUCGAGCGAACAGACGAGGAGCUUGCUCCUCUGACGUUAGCGGCGGACGGGUGAGUAACACGUGGAUAACCUACCUAUAAGACUGGGAUAACUUCGGGAAACCGGAGCUAAUACCGGAUAAUAUAUUGAACCGCAUGGUUCAAUAGUGAAAGACGGUUUUGCUGUCACUUAUAGAUGGAUCCGCGCCGCAUUAGCUAGUUGGUAAGGUAACGGCUUACCAAGGCGACGAUGCGUAGCCGACCUGAGAGGGUGAUCGGCCACACUGGAACUGAGACACGGUCCAGACUCCUACGGGAGGCAGCAGUAGGGAAUCUUCCGCAAUGGGCGAAAGCCUGACGGAGCAACGCCGCGUGAGUGAUGAAGGUCUUCGGAUCGUAAAACUCUGUUAUUAGGGUAGAACAAAUGUGUAAGUAACUAUGCACGUCUUGACGGUACCUAAUCAGAAAGCCACGGCUAACUACGUG
rnacentral:rRNA from 1 species